rnacentral:lncRNA from 1 species
GGGCGGAGAGCUCUCCUCCUCCUCUCCGCCUCCGUUACGCCCCGCCGGCUGAAUGCGCACGCGCAGCAAGAGCUGCGCGCGCAUUCAGCCCGUCGCAUAGGAAAGCAUUUACAAUGCUUUCCUAUGGACGCUGGCGUGCUCUCACUGUGAAAAUCACAGUGAGAAGCACGCAAGCGCCUCUAGUGGCUGUCAAUGAGACAGCCACUAGAGGCUUUGGGGGAAGGCUUAAC